UUUUGAGAAAUAAUGUUACCGUUUUUCUAUCGGUUUGGUGUGUUAAAUCUAACAGUAAUAUACAGAACCCAUUAGCCAUAUCGACAGUGACGAUCAGUUUUAAUUGUUUCUCCUUCGAUUAUGAGAACGGGGAUUCGUUUUGGAUAGUAAUUUAAUUAAAAUAAAUUUAAUAAAUUUAAUUUAAUUAAUUAGUGGACGCCAGCAUUACCCGUGAUGCUAAGCAUCAGUUGCUAUGGAGACGUAGCCAGUCCCCUUAGCGAUUGGGUGAUUUCUUUAGUGAUUUCAUUUCUCAUUGCGCUCUGUCCAGGUAAGUUACGAGGUUCAUAAUAAGUAAUGAUCACGUUUUGCUUAAAUGUUAUAAUUGAUGGAUUUCUUUGUCAUUACACUCAUGAUGUGUCAGUAAUAACAAUAUAACUUGGCCUAACGUUACUGCAUAAAUCUGGAAUGAGAAACCCCAGACAAAUACACGCGCUUUUUAACAGUCAUACAGGAGGAAAAGCAUGACUUUACAUGUGGUUGCUGCUGUUGCUGUUUUAUUAGUCAGUGGUUAGAUCAGAGUAGCAGACAAUAAACGGACAAGGGACAUCGUGUAUGGGCCAAAUAAAUUAGGCCUAAUAUACGGACGUCCCGCCUAAUAGGUGACACGUGACAGUUGGCAUUGGCAAGUGGCUAGGUUAGCCAGUAGUACUAACCCCCUUUAUAGUAACAACAUAGUUUUAAAGAAUUCUAACGUUACAAUUGUGCCUCUUGUUACUGGAUAUCAUGUUACAAAAACAAGUUUUAUUAAGGUUUUAAUGUAAUUUUUUACUUUAUUUUAGAGAUGCCAGGAAGUUCAACGAAAAUGUGCCCAGGGUGCAAUACCCUAAUAAGUGUUGCAUACAAAGCUUGCCCACAUUGCAAACAACUGCAGCCAUACAAAGCAAAAGUUGCAGCAAAGAGAUGCAACUUUCAAAAUAAAAAAAAUGAAUGGAAGGAGUCGGUCAAGAAAAACAACAACAGGACAGUUGUUCUCAAUAGCAGCCAUGUGUUGCUUGACAAACUUGCUGCCCUCGAUUUUUUCCCAAUACUACUUUUGGGUAAGAAAUGCAAAGGAAGUUUGGUGGCCGAUGUCAUCCUAGGAGGGGACUAUAUUUUGGAUCCUGAUUUGCUUCAGAGGGUUAAAGUUAUGUAUGAAGCUGUGCUAAAGAUUCAUUUUCAAAGACAGAAGAAGGCAACAAGUAGCACAGAAACUACUCACCCUCCCAAAGCCACUGCCACUGAGACCAACGUCACUCCAGAAGCCACUGAGACCAACGUCACUCCAGAAGCCACUGAGACCAACGUCACUCCAGAAGCCACUGAGACCACCGUCACUCCAGAAGCCACUGAGACCACCGUCACUCCAGAAGCCACUGAGACCACCGUCAUUCCAGAAGCCACUGAGACCAACGUCAUUCCAGAAGCCACUGAGACCAACGUCACUCCAGAAGCCACUGAGACCACCGUCAUUCCAGAAGCCACUGAGACCACCGUCAUUCCAGAAGCCACUGAGACCACCGUCAUUCCAGAAGCCACUGAGACCAACGUCAUUCCAGAAGCCACUGAGACCAACGUCACUCCAGAAGCCACUGAGACCACCGUCAUUCCAGAAGCCACUGAGACCACCGUCAUUCCAGAAGCCACUGAGACCACCGUCAUUCCAGAAGCCACUGAGACCACCGUCAUUCCAGAAGCCACUGAGACCACCGUCAUUCCAGAAGCCACUGAGACCACCGUCAUUCCAGAAGCCACUGAGACCACCGUCAUUCCAGAAGCCACUGAGACCACCGUCAUUCCAGAAGCCACUGAGACCAACGUCACUCCAGAUGCCACUGAGACCACCGUCAUUCCAGAAGCCACUGAGACCAACGUCACUCCAGAUGCCACUGAGACCAACGUCACUCCAGAUGCCACUGAGACCACCGUCACUCCAGAUGCCACUGAGACCACCGUCAUUCCAGAAGCCACUGAGGCCGUCACUCCAGAAGCCACUGAGACCACCGUCAUUCCAGAAGCCACUGAGACCACCGUCAUUCCAGAAGCCACUGAGGCCGUCACUCCAGAAGCCACUGAGACCACAGGCUCAUCAAAAGCCACAAGACCCCGGGGCCAGAAGGCAAAAAAAAGACAAAAUCCAGUCCAACAGAGGGUAGCCAGCAAUAUGAAGCCAAAAAAAAAGUAUGAGUGUCCAGAAUGCUGUUGGAGAGUGAGGCAAAACAACUUUGACUACUCCAAGGUUUUGAAAAGAAGAGUGAGAGAGGGAACAGAGGAGGUCCUCAUUUGUUGGGUUCCAUGCAAGACCUGACUUCUAAAGCUAUACAGAUCCACUUUGGGAACUGGAAACCCUUAAAGCUCACCUUCACCUGGAAAUGAGAGAAUGGGUAUAUGGUCUCGGUGACUUGACAGAGGAUGCUACCUAUGGGCUCAACAGUCUCAUCAAACGGGGGUCACUCAGAAGUCAACACAGACAGACUGAACUGUUAGAAAAUAGUGCACUUUGAUUUUUACAUUUCAAACCAAAGCUACUAAGUGUUUUCACCCAUAGCUUAGAGAUAAUAAAGAGCCACAUAUCUUCAGGAAAGUAUUGACAAUAUAAAUAAUGGCACUUUGCUAAAAAGUUCAGAUUAUGUAUUGUUAUUAGAAACAAGGACAACAUACUAACUAUGGGUAAAGGUCUUUUCCUUUCCAGCACUUUUAUACAAUGUCAAUUAUAUCAUAAAAGUUUUUAAGAUAUAUUUACCUGCCUUAAUUCUUAAAUUCAAAACUCAAAAAUGAAAGAAGAUAUCAGCAAAAACUGAAAUUGUACUAUUCUUAUGAAUAUUUGCAUUUAUUUGUCUCUUAUUUUUCUGACAACAAAAACAGAAAAGCUGCUGUUUCUCCUGACUGACAUCACCAAGUAGCGGAUUAAUAAUGUUAAAAGUAAUUUUGCAUGUUAUUACAAUGCAUUACCGGUAUUUUGCUUUAAAUAAAUCAUUGUUAUUUUUUGCAUGUAAAAAAUCUGAUGAAGUACAAUAAUUACAAUGUACUUUACUUCAAUAUUUCCAUAUUAUACUUUGUGUAUGUAUGUAAGCUAUGUAUGCAAUAUGUAUAUACUGUUUGUAGUUUCAGCAUACUUGUUAGUGAACACCAUCAAAUCGAUAUUAAACCAUACAUGUUUUUCUGUUAUGCUUUCCAUAUCGCAUCAUCUAAAUGUACAUCAAUAUAGUCAUAAAUCAUAUCCACUUUAGCUGACAUUCUGUAAAACUGUAUGGAGAAAUAUCUUUCUUUGUCUUGAUGCAUACAUAUGUGCAAUACUGUAAUAAAAACAAUUAUGUUUUUUGCUUGUUGAAUGAACUUCCCAUUAAAGUACC